rnacentral:rRNA from 1 species
CAGCCGCCGCGGUAAUACGGAGGGCGCGAGCGUUGUCCGGAUUCACUGGGCGUAAAGCGGGUGUAGGCGGUCGGGUAAGUCGGACGUGAAAGCCCGGGGCUCAACCCCGGAAGGGCGUCCGAAACUGCUCGACUUGAGGCCGAGGGUAUUCCCGGAGUAGGGGUGAAAUCCUAUAAUCCCGGGAGGACCACCUGUGGCGAAGGCGCUCGGCUGGAACGCGUCCGACGGUGAGGGACGAAGGCCAGGGGAGCAAACCGGAUUAGAUACCCGGGUAGUCCUGGCUGUAAACGAUGCGGACUUUGUGUCGGACAAGCUAUGAGCUGGUCCGGUGCCGGAGGGAAACCGUUAAGUCCGCCGCCUGGGGAGUACGGCCGCAAGGCUGAAACUUAAAGGAAUUGGCGGG